rnacentral:rRNA from 1 species
GAUGAACGCUGGCGGCGUGCCUAAUACAUGCAAGUCGAGCGAACGGACGAGAAGCUUGCUUCUCUGAUGUUAGCGGCGGACGGGUGAGUAACACGUGGAUAACCUACCUAUAAGACUGGGAUAACUUCGGGAAACCGGAGCUAAUACCGUAUAAUAUUUUGAACCGCAGGGUUCAAAAGUGAAAGACGGUCUUGCUGUCACUUCUAGAUGGAUCCGCGCUGCAUUAGCUAGUUGGUAAGGUAACGGCUUACUAAGGCAACGAUGCAUAGCCGACCUGAGAGGGUGAUCGGCCACACUGGAAGUGAGACACGGUCCAGAGUCCUACGGGAGGCAGAAGUAGGGAAUCUUCCGAACUGGGCGAAAGCCUGACGGAGCAACGCCGCGUGAGUGAUGAAGGUCUUCGGAUCGUAAAACUCUGUUAUUAGGGAAGAACAUAUGUGUAAGUAACUGUGCACAUCUUGACGGUACCUAAUCAGAAAGCCACGGCUAACUACGUG